GUCAAGCACUCAGAUAGAAGGCACAGGUGGAAUAGGGCAGCAAUCAGGCUGCCACAAGCUGGUCCUUCAGAAGGUCUGGGGCUGCAAAAACAAAUCUCCUUGCCUGAGACAGGAAUGCACAGGCAGGGUGAGAUGGCUGUUCAUCAGGAGAGGCCAGGGAGCUGGUAGAAUCUACCCCCUUUCUUUCUUCAUCUUCUCCAAUCUCCUAGGUCAGAGCUGAUCUCCGAUCUCUCUGAAUUUCUAGGAGGCUUCUAUCUGCAGCAUUCCAUGUCAGUGCAGAUGGGCCACAUCGGGCAAGAAAGAGCUCCUUCACCAGCCACCACCAAUCUGCUCUAUACAACCCUGGAGUAGCUUGCCUAGAGAGGUUAAGAUGCAGCCCACUGACCCUUUUUUUUGGUCUUCUCACCAUGAAGUGAAUCCACCUUGCAACAAGCAACAUGCAAAUCCACAAUGAUCUCUUUUUGGACCAUGCUCUGUUUUAUUGUUCAGAUUUUCCCCACACACACACACACCUUUCAGCCCCAAAAGAUCCUCCAUUACUUCAGCUAUUUCCAGAAUCCCUCCUUAUGUUGUUUUAAUUCUUAGUAGAGGGUGUGUAAGCAUAGGGGGAACCAAAGUGUUGGUAUGAGACUCUAGCAGAAAUAGAACUAUAGAGUGAUUAUUGGAGUCUGUCUAGCUAUUUUGGCUUGCCUCAAACCAUUUUAUUUCAUGUGUUAGUCAAGGAUCUAAUUGAACUGUACUGUAUAUUGAGUGUUCUUUGAGAACUGUGAAGUAGAUAUAGGAACAAACUACAUUAUGGAUACGGCAAUAAUGAAGCCAUGAUUUUCUCAUGUUCCAACUUCCAAAAUAAUUCAUUUGUCCUCCCUCUGACGUAUCUUGUGAAACUGUCUAUGAAAUUGUAACGGUAAUGCUAGUUACCAAACUAUGUAAAAUUCUUCCAUUCGAGCACCUUCUCUGUCAAUAGGACAAUAUGUUUUGUAAAUCUGUAAAGUUGUUUGCCUUCCAUGGCAUCUCAGACUGCAAGGAUUGCUCAUUCUCUCCAUUCAGUUCUCAGCUGAGAAAUUAAUCUAUAUGAUAAACACCUUUUGAUCUA